AGAGUUUGAUCCUGGCUCAGAGCGAACGCUGGCGGAAUGCUUUAACACAUGCAAGUCGCACGGGGCUUCGGCCUUAGUGGCGGACGGGUGAGUAACGCGUAGGAAUGUGUCCGAGGGUGGGGGAUAACGUUGGGAAACUGACGCUAAUACCGCAUAUCUCCUGAGGGAGAAAGCAGUGAUGCGCCCAUGGAGCAGCCUGCGUACGAUUAGCUUGUUGGUGGGGUAAAGGCUUACCAAGGCGACGAUCGUUAGCUGGUCUGAGAGGAUGAUCAGCCACACUGGAACUGAGACACGGCCCAGACUCCUACGGGAGGCAGCAGUGGGGAAUAUUGGACAAUGGGCGCAAGCCUGAUCCAGCAAUUCCGCGUGGGUGAAGAAGGUCUUCGGAUUGUAAAGCCCUUUCGUUGGGGACGAUGAUGACGGUACCCAAAGAAGAAGCCCCGGCUAACUUCGUGCCAGCAGCCGCGGUAAUACGAAGGGGGCUAGCGUUGCUCGUAAUGACUGGGCGUAAAGGGCGCGUAGGCGGCACAACUCGUCAGGCGUGAAAUUCCCGGGCUUAACCUGGGGACUGCGUUUGAUACGGUUGAGCUAGAGGAUGGAAGAGGCUCGUGGAAUUCCCA
rnacentral:rRNA from 1 species